UCAAACUUUUAUGCCAUUUGCGUC
rnacentral:siRNA from 1 species